rnacentral:tRNA from 1 species
GGAAGCGUAUCGAAGAGGUCAUAACGAGCUUGACUCGAAAUCAAGUUGUCUGAAAGGGCACGCGGGUUCGAAUCCCGCCGCUUCCGCCA